GAUCAUGGCUCAGGAUGAACGCUAGCUACAGGCUUAACACAUGCAAGUCGAGGGGCAGCAUGGUCUUAGCUUGCUAAGGCCGAUGGCGACCGGCGCACGGGUGAGUAACACGUAUCCAACCUGCCGUCUACUCUUGGACAGCCUUCUGAAAGGAAGAUUAAUACAAGAUGGCAUCAUGAGUCCGCAUGUUCACAUGAAUUAAAGGGUAUUCCGGUAGACGAUGGGGUA
rnacentral:rRNA from 1 species